GGCAGUUCUUGGGUGACGCACCCCAGAAUUGGUCUGCCUCCUCUCUGGUUCUGGGUGCAUCACCCGAGAACUGCC
rfam:Myotis brandtii contig216329, whole genome shotgun sequence.